AUUCGGCCUUAGCCUUUGCUCAAAGUGAGGUUCUAUGGUAUUUCCAACAUGUAGGAAUAGCUUCAUCGAAGUCAAGAGCUGCCAGAACGGUUCCGGUAGAAAUGGAUCCAAGUGAUCCAACGAUUGGCUUCUUGUUGGAUGGAAUGGAUCGUCUUUGUUGCCUAGUGCGCAAGUAUAUUGCUGCUAUUAGAGGAUACGCCUUAUCAUAUCUAUCAUCCUGUGCUGGUAGAAUCCGAUUUUUGUUGGGUACCCCUGGCAUGGUUGCUCUCGACUUGG
rnacentral:misc_RNA from 1 species